rfam:Phialocephala subalpina strain TAMH 11012 genome assembly, contig: PAC_scaffold_055
GGUUCUAUGGUGUAAUGGUUAGCACAUCGGAUUUUGAUUCCGGGGAUCUGGGUUCGAUUCCCAGUAGAACCU